GGUUGAUCCUGCCAGUAGUCAUAUGCUUGUCUCAAAGAUUAAGCCAUGCAUGUCUAAGUAUAAACAACUCUGUACUUGUAAAACUGCGAAUGGCUCAUUAAAUCAGUUAUAGUUUAUUUGAUGUUACCUUUUUUUUACUACUUGGAUAACCGUAGUAACAUAGAGCUAAUACAUGCAAAUACUUCUGACCGCAAGGAAAGGAGGCACUUAUUAGAUUACAAACCAAUCCAUGUAAAAAGUGGAAAAUGGUGAUUCAUAGUAAGGUUGGAAAUCGCAUGGAGGUAACUCUGGCG
rnacentral:rRNA from 1 species